rnacentral:rRNA from 1 species
UACGUAGGGGGCAAGCGUUGUCCGGAAUCAUUGGGCGUAAAGCGCGUGUAGGCGGCUCGGUAAGUCUGCUGUGAAAGUCCAGGGCUCAACCCUGGGAUGCCGGUGGAUACUGUCGAGCUCGAGUCCGGAAGAGGAGAGUGGAAUUCCCGGUGUAGCGGUGAAAUGCGCAGAUAUCGGGAAGAACACCCGUGGCGAAGGCGGCUCUCUGGGACGGUACUGACGCUGAGACGCGAAAGCGUGGGGAGCAAACAGG